AUGGAAUGGAGUGGUAUCGAAUGGAAUACAUUCCAUCUCAUUCCAUCAUUUUUUUUACUCUUCAAUUUGGGAAGAAUGACAAAAUUACUUUAUUCCAUGGUGACGUACCUAAAUAAUGGAAUGACUUCUUUAUUUCAUUGCGCUCUGUUUCAUCCCAUUCCGCUCCAUUCUUUUUUACAUAUCCAAACAUUGCCUAAGAGAAAAAGAGUUGAGACAUUGGAAUAG